ensembl:lncRNA
GGCGCGCGCAGCCCCUUCCGGCGCGUGCCGGGGGGAAAACAGCGCGAAACGGCCCGCUGUGUCCCGGCUGUUCGACGCGCUCCCUGCUGCAUGCUCAAGCGCGUGCGUGUGCGCGCGCACGCACAGUGUGUGUUGGCUGCGCUGCGCCAUGGCCGCCGUGAGCAUCACGGAGCCUCUCUGCAAACCCACAGUGUAUGACGGCAGAUUCAGAGUGGAGCUGCAUGUGAAAAAGCCCCUGAUGCCCAUCCACUUGAGCAAGAAGCAGGUGCGACUGGAGAUGCUGUGUCUCUGCAGCCAGCUGGACCUUCUCAUUAGGGCUCAGUUUCAAGAGCAGCUCAAACAAGAUUGCAGCCCCGUGGAGUCGGACGCUUUCCGCCGAGAAGCUGCUGAGGUCAUGGAGAAGAUGAUCCUUUGCCUGGAACACCUACCUGAGCCUGUUCCUCAGCUGGAGGACUACCUGGAUGCAGUGGGACUGUCGACCAUGUUCCCACGGGUGGAGGUCUUCAUUAUCCAUGGAAGUCCAGUGGACAUGCUGGAAAAGCCUGUCAUGGACGAUUAUUUUCCACACAUCGGGAAGCUGAACCAGUUGCUCGUUCUCAGCCAGCAGCUUGAGGACGAUGUGCAGCACCUGGGGAGUCAUAAGUACAUCGCCCAUCAGCUGUCCGUCAUUUACCACGUUCUCAGCUCCUUCAAAGGCAUCUUGCCAUUAUCAGUUUUGAAGAGGGACAUUGAGGCCAACUUCAAAAAUCUGAAAAUGGCUCUUGUGACGGAAGAAGGUUCAAAGCAGGAGCCCCAGUUACCAGCACACUAUGCGAACUGGAUACUAGAUGUGACUCAUGGCAUUAUAUCCACUGUGUCCACACUGCCUGAAGAACUGACCCAAGACCUCAGCCUAGCCAUGGGUUUUGUGUCCAACCUCACCUGACCAGGGUUGCCAGGGACCGUUCUUGAUUUGUCUUCUGUCUGUGGGGUGGAGUCACAUUUCAGCUCGUCUUCAUUUGCCCAUGAGUACAAAUUAUUUUAAAGGUGAAUAAUUUGCAAAGUUCUGUAUUUCAGUAUGUUUUUCUAGUAAAGAUUGAUUAGUACAACUGAACUAGUGGAUUAGUGUGGAUUGAUCUGUACCUGUAUGGGUCUGAGCUGGGAAAUAAUCAGGUGUUGCUGUACCUCUGCUGGCCAAUAGCAAAGACCAGUUGCUCAGGACUUCUUAUAUUAACUCAUUUCUUCCAGGGUCAUUAUAGUGUGUUUAGUCUUAAGAAAACAAUUAAUUACAUUUUAGUAUUGUGCACGGGGGGGUGCGGUGGCGCAGUGGCGCAGUGGGUUGGACCGGGUCCUGCUCUCCGGUGGGUCUGGGGUUCGAGUCCCGCUUGGGGUGCCUUGCGACGGACUGGCGUCCUGUCCUGGGUGUGUCCCCUCCCCCUCCGGCCUUACGACCUGUGUUACCGGGUAGGCUCCGGUUCCCCGCGACUCCAUAUGGGACAAGCGGUUCAGAAAAUGUGUGUGUGUGUGUGUGUGUGUAUUGUGCACAUACUAAACAAACAUUUUCCUUGUUAUUUUGGUGUAUUCAUAUACGGAGUGUGUAUUUGUUGCAGUUUCAGUUGAAACUAAAAUGACAUGAUUUUAGUAUUUAAUCUACUUGAAAUGUUAUAUAUCAUAACCUCAUAGCCUUUUAGCAGAUAUAAAACAAAAUAUUCUGCCUUCCAGUAUGGCUGCAUUUCUAAAAAAAUUGAUGAUUAUUUAUCAUAAACUGUAGCGAGAAUAUAGCAGAGGUUAAUCCAGUGUUCAAGGCACUUCCAGUCAGAUUUUUUUAGGCUAAAAUUUAGAAAAAUUAGUUUUCUUGAUAUUUGAACUACCAUGUCAAUUAGCUGUAAAAUAUGGUUAUAAUAUACAGUACAGUGGUGGGGGGUGCAGUGGCGCAGUGGGUUGGACUGGGUCCUGUUCUCCGGUGGGUCUGGGGUUUGAGUCCUGUUUGGGGUGCCUUGCAGUGGACUGGCGUCCCAUCCUGGGUGUGUCCCCUCCCCCUCCAGCCUUUCAUCUUGUGUUGCCGGGUUACGCUCCGGCUCCCCGCGACCCCGUAUGGGACAAGCGGUUUCAGAUAAUGUGUGUGUGUGAGUACAGUGUGUAUCACUUUCUGUAUACUUGGUGCAGUGAUGUUAGUUCAGUGUCUAGUUUUGCCUUGUUUUGCCUUGUUUCCGAGAAGUACAAUAAAGUCUAAAAAGGAUAAGAUUUCCA